rnacentral:rRNA from 1 species
CCCUUAGAUGUCCUGGGCCGCACGCGCGCUACACUGGAAGUUACGGAUUGAGAUACUACCUUGUCCGAAAUGGUCCGGGUAAUCACCUAAAAGCUUGUCAUAAUUGGAAUGGAUUAUUGUAACUAGUAAUCCUGAACGAGGAAUUCCUAGUAAGUCCCAGUCAACAGCUGGUACUGAUUACGUCCCUGCCCUUUGUACACACCGCCCGUCGCUACUACUGAUUGGACGUUUAAGCAAGAUUUUUAAACACUGACAGUGUGUAGUUCACGCUAUACUACAGUGAGAAGAAGAAGAUCGAGCUUACUUGUCUAGAGGAAGUAAAAGUCGUAACA